CCUACGGGUGGCAGCAGUGAGGAAUAUUGGGCAAUGGACGAAAGUCUGACCCAGCCAAGUAGCGUGAAGGAUGACUGCCCUAGGGGUGGUAAACUUCGUUUAUAUGGGAAUAAAGUGUUCCAGGUGUGGGAUAGUGUAUGUACCAUAUGAAUAAGGAUCGGCUAACUUCGCGCCAGCAGAAGCGGUACUACUGAGGAUACGAGCGUUAGUCGGAUUUGUUGGGUUUAAAGGGAGCGUAGGUGGGUUGUUAAGUCAGUUGUGAAAGUUUAGGGCUCAACCGUAAAAUUGCAGUUGAAACUGGCAGUCUUGAGUACAUGAGAGGUGGGCGGAAUUCGUGGUGUAGCGGUGAAAUGCUUAGAUAUCACGAAGAACUCCGAUUGCGAAGGCAGUUCACUGGACUGCAACUGACACUGAGGCUCGAAAGUGUGGGUAUCAAACAGGAUUAGAUACCCCUGUAGUC
rnacentral:rRNA from 1 species